ensembl:lncRNA
AGGUCCCACUGACUCCAUGGCCUGCCUGCUUCACCACAGCGUUCUCCCACCUUUCUCUCCUCUCAGCACCUGAUGGAGACUCUGCUCCGUUCCUAGACAGGCUACAGGUUGUCCUGUCUCUGUCUACCUCCCGCAUCAGACUGUGAGGUUUUCCAGGGCAGGGCCAUGUCACAUGAUCCCCCUCGAGUCUGCUCAUCGCAGGCAUCAUACUCCUUUAAAGGACUCAAUUCGACAAGACCCAGAGCAGAGACUGCCCACUGGCCCCUCCUCCUGUGUUUCUGCACCCUCACCUCACCAAGCAGGAGCAUCCCCACCCACUGAUUCUGCCAGGCUCCAUCUCAGGGCCUCUACAGGUUCCUCCUGGCAUCACUGAGCCUCUCCUUACAGUGUUUCCAAAAUCUCGAUGAGCCUUUGCAUUUUAAGCAGCUGCGAUUGUAUCAGAUUCCACCCCGCCUCCCCUGGUCUUUCCAGCCGCUCAGGUCUACCCAAGUUUGAUGAACUGAUCUCGGUUAGAUAAAUCCCAUCAGCUGUCGGCUUUGCUCAGACUCUGGGAAUGACAUUUCUCCGGUUUGUUCAGUUUUAAUGCAAAGGAGACACUUGUUCCUACUGAAAACCUUCAAGGCCAGGUGAGACUAAUAAAGAGUUUUAUACAAACGGCCCCACUCCGCCAAUCUGGGCCAAAUGGCUGGCUUCUGGCUCCCUGUGGUUUCUGGAAGGCAGGAAGCCGCAGACAGCAGACCACGGAGGGCGCCAGCGAGACAGCCUUUCUCUUGGCUUCAUGCCACCGCCAUUCUAGAUUCCUUUUUCCUAUUCUAACUACCUAACAGAUUCAAAGGUCUGGGAUGGAACCUGAGGAUCUGCAUUUCAACGGGCUCUCAGCGGUCACAGCUCAUCCACAGGCACUAGCCCACCUGUCCUUACCUGGCCCUGAAGCCUGACAUUCCAUUUCACAGAACUUUUAUGAGUUUGAAAACCCAAUCAGAAGAGACAACCAGGGGACGUGUCUCAAAGGCAUGUUGGAAUCAUAAGCCCAGUCUUCAUUUCAGUUUUUGUUUCACGUCGUUUGGAGGUUGCACCACAAGGACUGAGUGAAGUGAGAACACAGCCCCCCUGGCGGCAGCUCUAACCCGCCUGCAGGUCCUCAGGGUCUGGCCCAGGGGCUACUCCAGAUGCAGAACAGACAGGUGAAGACAGGGUAUGAAACACAGGAACAAAGGCUUCUGGGUAAGGGAUCCUCCCAAGAAGUCAGAAGCAGAAUCUUCAAAAAAACACAUGGAGAGAAGGAGCAGGGAAAGGCUGGAGACCAAACAGUUGGAAAACAGAGAGCAAGACUGAAAUGCCAGCAGGUGGGCAGGAAAACCCUAACUAAUAGAGCUCCCAUCACAGAAGCUCACCCAGGUUGGCUACCCAGCAAUAGUGCACAAUAGGAGUGCUAAGUUGCUUCAGACUCUUUGCGACCCCGUGGACUAUAGUCCAGCAGGCUCCUCUGUCCAUGGGAUACUGAACGCAAGAAUACUGGAGCGGCACAUUAGGGACAAGACACAAAAGCAAAGUCAAGUCUGGUCCAUUCUACCUGCCCCAAGGCACUGGCCCAGCUUCUCAGCCCAAGGUUCUGGUCUGCUGCUGCUAAAGUGAAUGAGGAAUGUUGCAACAACAUCUGGAGCCGCCCCCAGCGGAAGCCUGCAGAGUGGCAGUGGCAGCGGUGACAGCUCAGAACGCAGGCCUCUCACCGUGUGGACAUCCACGCAUCCACCAGCACACACAGACUAUGUGCACGUGGUCAUGUCUACAUGUCCACACGUACACAUGCACAUGCGUGUGUGUUUGUACACCACACAAGCAUGCCCUGUACGUGUGUGCUUGUGUGUGCAUGUGUGUUCAGAUGUGUGCAUUCACACCUAUGACCCAUACACACAUGGCCAUGCCUGUGUGCACAGAUGCACAUGCUUACAUGUGUGUUCAGACGUGUGCAUUCACACCUAUGACCCAUACACAUAUGGCCAUGCCUACAUGCACAGAUGCACAUGCUCAGAUGCACAGGCCUGGCCACAGACACAAUCACGGCCACAGCACUGGGACUGAGAUAAGGGAUCCUAGUUCUGGGCUGGAGCUUGGGAAGGCCACAGCCCCAGGGAUGCCCCAAGAAUCUGCGCUCUCUGUUCCCCAUUCAAGUCAGCAAAAGCCAAGCCUGUCCUUCAAUCUGGAACUGGAGCCCAGCUUCCCAGCCCCUCCUCUUGGCGACACAGAUUUCCCUGUCCUUGCCCUGCUCCUUCCCUAGACCUGGCCCUGCCCCAGCCUGAUCACAGCUCCCAGUCCCUAUCCUGGAGGCUGAUGUGAACAGCUUCCCCCUCUGCUCCCAGCAGCCUGCUCACCACACCCCCUCCCAGUGUGCUGGCGGACAGUCACCUCCCCUCCUUGAAUGAUGCUUUCUCUGGUUGUGAAAUUGGAGGGUUGUCUAGUCAAUUUGUUGACUAGACUACCACAGCCCAGGGGCACAUCUGCGUGGAGCAGCAGGGCUGUGUGCCUACUCGUGUAUGUGCCUGGGUGGACCUACACACGUGCUUACGUGCAUGUAUUUGUGCCGCCAAGUCUACACUUGCCUGUCAGUGAGUGUCUACACAUCUGUCUCCACACAUCUGUGAACGUCUGUGUCUGUGACUCUAUGUGUAACUCUGCAUUUUAAGUGUGUCUGUGUGUUUAUAUAUCUGUGCUUGUGUGCUUCUAGGUCAUUGUCUGAUCAUUGCAUGUCCUUAUGUCAUGAAUGCCCUUACAUGUAUGUGAAUCUGCAGAGCUGUGUGUGUUGAUGUGCAGGUGUGCAUACUUACGUCUCCAUGCUUUUACACAUAUGUCAGUGCGCCUGUGACUGCGUGUCAGUAUGUCGGGCUCCCUGGGUGUCACCAGUGGUAAAGAACCCGCCUGCCAACGCAGGAGACGUAAGAGAUGCGGAUUCGAUCCCUGGGUAGGGACGAUCCCCUGGAGGAGGAAAUGGCAACCCACUCCAGUAUUCUUGCCUGGAGAAUCCCAUGGACAGAGGAGCCUGGCCGGCUAUAGUCCACAGGGUUACAAAGAGUCAAACAUGACUGAAGCAACUUAGCACGUGUGCAAGACAGAGCACGGCUGCGUGUAUGUCAGUGUGUGCCUGUGUCUGCAUGUAUGUGUUGGAAGCCGGGGUAAAAGCAGGAAGCAGCUCAGUGUCAGGA